GCCAGUGUUGUGUUGUGGUUUAAGCACUAGACUACAGCUCUGGAGACCAGGGUUCAAAUCCCAGCUCAGCCA